ACUGCUCAGUAACACGUGGACAACCUGCCCUUAGGUUGGGUAUAAACCCGGGAAACUGGGUAUAAUACCCGAUAGGUCUCGAUUGCUGGAAUGCAUCGAGAUUUAAAGCUCCGGCGCCUAAGGAUGGGUCUGCGGCCUAUCAGGUAGUAGUGGGUGUAGCGUACCUACUAGCCUACGACGGGUACGGGUUGUGAGAGCAAGAGCCCGGAGAUGGAUUCUGAGACACGAAUCCAGGCCCUACGGGGUGCAGCAGGCGCGAAAACUUUACAAUGCUGGCAACAGCGAUAAGGGAACCUCGAGUGCCAGGUUACAAAUCUGGCUGUCGAGAUGCCUAAAAAGCAUUUCAUAGCAAGGGCCGGGCAAGACCGGUGCCAGCCGCCGCGGUAACACCGGCGGCUCGAGUGGUAACCGUUAUUAUUGGGUCUAAAGGGUCUGUAGCCGGCCGGAUAAGUCUCUUGAGAAAUCUGGCAGCUUAACUGUCAGGCCUUCAGGAGAUACUGUCUGGCUCGAGGCCGGGAGAGGUGAGAGGUACUUCAGGGGUAGGGGUGAAAUCUUGUAAUCCUUGAAGGACCACCAGUGGCGAAGGCGUCUCACCAGAACGGACCUGACGGCAAGGGACGAAAGCUAGGGGCACGAACCGGAUUAGAUACCCGGGUAGUCCUAGCCGUAAACGAUACUCGCUAGGUGUCGGCCACGGUGCGACCGUUGUCGGUGCCGUAGGGAAGCCGUGAAGCGAGCCACCUGGGAAGUACGGCCGCAAGGCUAAAACUUAAAGGAAUUGGCGGGGGAGCAC
rnacentral:rRNA from 1 species